AGCGAACGCUGGCGGCGUGCCUAACACAUGCAAGUCGAACGUGAAAAGGGAAACCUGAGUAAAGUGGCGUACGGGUGAGUAACGCGUAGGUAAUCUACCCCAGAAUCUGGAAUAACCUGCCGAAAGGCGGGCUAAUACUGGAUAGAGCGAGGGAACUCGUAAGAGAGUUUUUCGGGAAAGGGAGCCCGCAAGGGCCUUCGUUCUGGGAUGAGCCUGCGUCUCAUUAGCUAGUUGGUAAGGUAACGGCUUACCAAGGCGAUGAAGAGUAGCUGGUCUGAGAGGAUGAUCAGCCACACUGGAACUGAAACACGGUCCAGACUCCUACGGGAGGCAGCAGUGGGGAAUCUUGCGCAAUAGACGAAAGUCUGACGCAGCCACGCCGCGUGAGUGAAGAAGGCCUUCGGGUUGUAAAGCUCUGUCGGAUGGGACGAACAUCUUCAUAGUGAAUAGCUAUGAGGACUGACGGUACCAUCUAAGGAAGCACCGGCUAACUCCGUG
rnacentral:rRNA from 1 species